rnacentral:pre_miRNA from 17 species
AGAAGAUCGCAAACUAAAUAUUAUUCCUAAGUACUAGUGCCGCAGGAGUGUUUAUAUUUCUCCUGCUGCCUCAGUGCUUAUCAAUGAAUUUAGCUAUAUCAACGA